UACGUAGGGUGCGAGCGUUACUCGGAAUUACUGGGCGUAAAGAGUGCGUAGGCGGUUCUUUGUGUCCGCUGUGAAAGCCCCGGGCUUAACCUGGGAAUGGCAGUGGAAACUAGAGAACUUGAAUCUGGCAGAGGGGGGUGGAAUGCCACGUGUAGCAGUGAAAUGCGUAGAUAUGUGGCGGAACACCGAUGGCGAAGGCGGCAUCCGGGACCAACACUGACACUGAGGAGCGAAAGCCAGGGGAGCAAACGGG
rnacentral:rRNA from 1 species